AAAUAGCCCCGAUAGAAACGGCAUCUUUUUGUUGUGGGGUUCACAACAAAAAAUAUAGUGAAUAGCGGGACUGAAC
rnacentral:sRNA from 1 species